AUUUUACUUUUCUCUUUGAUAAUUUUACACCGUUAAAUCUACAGUGUCAAAUUUAAUCCAAUUUGACGUUUUCGCCACUGCUCGUAUUUAAUCUUUGAUAUCCAGAUGGGAGUGCUACGAAAUCCUCGAGUCGGCCCUCGAAUCCACGCGUACGGGGAAGGCCUGCCUUUUGAAGACCAUUUGCGAAGUCGCGGCGGUGCCUUUUAGACGGAGUCACACCCUGACUGCGCAGCUCGCCCAUAUUUUCCUCACGCCUUCCACCACAUCUGAACCAUUCAGACAUGCCUUCGAUCAAGAAUAUCGUGCCGCUGAAAUUGCAGGUCGACAAGACUCCAGCAGCUGUGACAAUUUAUUUCCGGAGUGCGCGGAAAGCCUCUUAGAUUAUUUUACCGAGAUAUUGUUGGAAUAACUAUGAUUAGUAUGGAUGUCGUGUUUUUAUCGCGGUAGCAGAAUCAGCUGAGUUUUCCUUCGAUUCGUAUUGCAAUUGUACAAGAAAACAUUAUAUUUAUGGCAUUUUCUUUUAAAACAAAAUACAUUUUUGGCGUUUACGAUAUUAAA